rnacentral:rRNA from 1 species
AUUGAACGCUGGCGGCAGGCCUAACACAUGCAAGUCGAGCGGGGUUUUCGGACCUAGCGGCGGACGGGUGAGUAAUGCGUAGGAAGCUACCCGACAGAGGGGGAUACCAGUUGGAAACGACUGUUAAUACCGCAUAAUGUCUACGGACCAAAGUGUGGGACCUUCGGGCCACAUGCUGUCGGAUGCGCCUACGUGGGAUUAGCUUGUUGGUGAGGUAAUGGCUCACCAAGGCGACGACGGGUAGCCGGCCUGAGAGGGCGACCGGCCACACUGGGACUGAGACACGGCCCAGACUCCUACGGGAGGCAGCAGUGGGGAAUAUUGGGCAAUGGAGGAAACUCUGACCCAGCGACGCCGCGUGAGGGAUGAAGGCCUUCGGGUUGUAAACCUCUUUCAGUAGGGAAGAAGCGAAAGUGACGGUACCUACAGAAGAAGCACCGGCUAACUAUGUG